rnacentral:lncRNA from 1 species
AUGAAUUUGGUUAUAUAUCUUUGUGCCCCAUCAAAAUUUAACCAAAAUGUGCUGUUUCAGUGUGUAGAAGAUUCUACAAGGCCACAGGCACUAGGACUUCGUCCCUCCUCUCCGCCCCAUUUCUGCUCCAGCCCCCAGUUCUCUAUCACUUGGGCACUGCAGCAUUGCCAACUGGCCUCUGUGGGCAGGAGGAUGAUGUAUGGUGGCUGUCAUGCUAUCGGCUUUCCCCGCGCAGCACAACAGCUUCUCUAGGGAAGAAAGGAUCUGACAGCUCAGUUCUACUCACUUCGAAAGAAGACUCCUCCUCCCCAUUGAGUCAUGGACAUUCUCAGCAGAAGGCUGCUCCUCCAAAGUGUUCUUACCAGUUUAUAAAAGGUAAUAACAAUUACCUUCAUUUAAAGACGGC